rnacentral:rRNA from 1 species
UACGAAGGAUGCAAGCGUUAUCCGGAUUUAUUGGGUUUAAAGGGAGCGUAGGCGGUCUUAUAAGUCAGUGGUGAAAUCUCGUUGCUUAACAACGACCGUGCCAUUGAUACUGUAGGACUUGAGUACAGUUGCCGUUGGCGGAAUGUGUCAUGUAGCGGUGAAAUGCAUAGAUAUGACACAGAACACCAAUUGCGAAGGCAGCUGACGAAACUGUAACUGACGCUGAGGCUCGAAAGCAUGGGGAUCAAACAGG